rnacentral:rRNA from 1 species
UACGUAGGGACCCAAGCGUUGUUCGGAUUUACUGGGCGUAAAGGGCGCGUAGGCGGCAGAUCAAGUCAGUUGUGAAAUCUCUGGGCUUAACUCAGAACUGUCAACUGAUACUGUUUUGCUAGAGUGCGGAAGGGGCAAUCGGAAUUCUCGGUGUAGCGGUGAAAUGCGUAGAUAUCGAGAGGAACACCUGAGGUGAAGACGGGUUGCUGGGCCGACACUGACGCUGAGUGCGCGAAAGCCAGGGGAGCAAACGGGAUUAGAAACCCUAGUAGU